UACGAAGGGUGCAAGCGUUACUCGGAAUUACUGGGCGUAAAGCGUGCGUAGGUGGUUCGUUAAGUCUGAUGUGAAAGCCCUGGGCUCAACCUGGGAAUGGCAUUGGAAACUGGCGACCUAGAGUGCGGUAGAGGGUAGUGGAAUUCCCGGUGUAGCAGUGAAAUGCGUAGAGAUCGGGAGGAACAUCUGUGGCGAAGGCGACUGCCUGGACCAGCACUGACGCUGAGGCACGAAAGCGUGGGGAGCAAACAGG
rnacentral:rRNA from 1 species